AUGGAGUGAGCUGUAAAAUCAGUUAGCUAGCUUCCAGUCACAAGCAAGAUACUGAAGCGAAUAAGGAAUGUUAUAUAUUUUUAUCUUUAAUCUUGGCAGUGCCUUUCCUUGUUUUAUACAUUUGUAGCUUUGCUGUUACUCUUCUCUGUGCCCUUGUGUGAGUGCACUGUGUUAUCUUCACAUCCUACUUAGGAGUAAAGCUACCUGCAGGUUAGAUGUCUGCAGUGAGUGAUGAGCAACUUGAGAAACUCCUCCUUAUCUAGGUCCCUCCCUGGAAACAAGAACAGGUAUCCAAAGGAGCGUGCAUGAUGCUGGUUGAUUCAUCAGCAGCACAGACGUUUCUUCAGCAGGGCUCAACUCCUGAUCAUGAUGGGGCCAUUCCACAGGACUUCCUUCACAGAGUCUGGCAAGAUGUGUUUACAGAAUCCUGGCCCUUCAGAGUCUGAUUAUCAGCCCAGAAGGUUCUUCCUCAAGAUGGUCGGGUAUGG